UCCCAGGUGGCUCAGAUGGUAAAGGAUCUGCCUGCAGUGCAGGAGACCUGGGUUCAACCCCUGCAUUGGGAA
rnacentral:tRNA from 1 species